rnacentral:rRNA from 1 species
AUUGAACGCUGGCGGCAGGCCUAACACCUGCCAGUCGAGCGGAGCGGCGGACGGGUGAGUAAUGCCUCGGAAUCUGCCUGGUAGUGGGGGAUAACGUCCGGAAACGGGCGCUAAUACCGCAUACUAUCAGAUGAGCCUAGGUCGGAUUAGCUAGUUGGUGGGGUAACGGCCUAACAAGGCGACGAUCCGUAACUGGUCUGAGAGGAUGAUCAGUCACACUGGAACGGAGAAACGGUGCAGACUCCGACGGGAGGCAGCAGGGGGGAAUAGUGGACAAGGGGCGAAAGCCUGAUGCAGCCAUGCCGCGUGUGGGAAGAAGGUCUUCGGAUUGUAAAGCACUUUAAGUUGGGAGGCGUUACCAACAGAAUAAGCACCGGCUAACUUCGUGCCAGCCGCCGCGGUAAUUC